rfam:Hordeum vulgare subsp. vulgare, WGS project CAJW01000000 data, contig: morex_contig_1570988
UUUAUGCUACCUCCGUCCGGAAAUACUUGUCCUAGAGAUGAAUAUAUUUAGACUUAUUUUAAUUGUAGAUACAUCCAUUAUAUACAUUUUUAGGACAAGUAUUUCCGGACGGAGGGAAUAUGAA